UACAGAGGAUGCAAGCGUUAUCCGGAAUGAUUGGGCGUAAAGCGUCCGCAGGUGGCUUUGUAAGUCUGCUGUUAAAGAGUGAGGCUCAACCUCAUAAGAGCAGUGGAAACUACAAGGCUAGAGUACGUUCGGGGCAGAGGGAAUUCCUGGUGUAGCGGUGAAAUGCGUAGAGAUCAGGAAGAACACCGGUGGCGAAAGCGCUCUGCUAGGCCGUAACUGACACUGAGGGACGAAAGCUAGGGGAGCGAAUGGG
rnacentral:rRNA from 1 species